rnacentral:rRNA from 1 species
GACGAACGCUGGCGGCGUGCUUAACACAUGCAAGUGGAGCGACGAACCAGGGCUUGCCCUGGGGCAGAGCCGCGAACGGGUGAGUAACACGUGGGUAACGUGCCCCGAUGACUGGGACAACCCGGGGAAACCCGGGCUAAUACCGGAUGUGCCCCCUCACAUCAGUGAGGUGUGUAAAGGAAGCUUCGGCCUCCGCAUCGGGAUCGGCCCGCGGCCCAUUAGCUUGUUGGUGAGGUAACGGCUCACCAAGGCUGCGAUGGGUAGCUGGUCUGAGAGGACGAUCAGCCACACUGGGACUGAGACACGGCCCAGACUCCUACGGGAGGCAGCAGUGGGGAAUCUUGCGCAAUGCGCGAAAGCGUGACGCAGCAACGCCGCGUGGGGGAAGACGGCCUUCGGGUUGUAAACCCCUUUCAGUUGGGACGAAGGUCGGGCGGUUAACAGCCGUUCCGGCUGACGGUACCUUCACAAGAAGCCCCGGCUAACUACGUGC